rnacentral:rRNA from 1 species
UGGGGAAUAUUGCGCAAUGGGGGCAACCCUGACGCAGCCAUGCCGCGUGGGUGAAGAAGGCCUUCGGGUUGUAAAGCCCUUUCAACGGUGAAGAUGAUGACUGUAGCCGUAGAAGAAGCCCCGGCUAACUUCGUGCCAGCAGCCGCGGUAAUACGAAGGGGGCUAGCGUUGUUCGGAAUUACUGGGCGUAAAGGGCGCGUAGGCGGACUGUCCAGUCAGGGGUGAAAUCCCGGGGCUUAACCUCGGAACUGCCUUUGAUACUGACAGUCUAGAGUCUGUGAGAGGAUGACGGAAUACCCAGUGUAGAGGUGAAAUUCGUAGAUAUUGGGUAGAACACCGGUGGCGAAGGCGGUCAUCUGGCGCAGCACUGACGCUGAGGCGCGAAAGCGUGGGGAGCGAACAGGAUUAGAUACCCCCGUAGUCC